UGGAGGGAUAGCAAUGGGUAAGGGAAUGAGGGCAGGGAUGAGAAUGGAUCUGGUAGUGUUGGGCAAGGAAACAGAAGAGAUGAGAUUGGGGUAAGACAGAGGAAGAGAGUACUGGAAGAGACAACUGGAUUUGGGUGGGGGCAUCUUCUGGAUGAGCUAGAAACCUAGGACAAUGAAAAAGACCAGGAAUCUCUGAGAGUGAUAUUAGCUAGGACCCUUAUGAAUGGCUAUAAGGAGCAUGAACUGGGUAUCACCUAUAACCAGGAAAGAAAUACAAUGGAGGGACUGUGAUACAAACAAAACCACAAAACUUUAGACCCACAAUUUUUGUCUGCCUACAGGAUAUGCAGGGUUUGGGGUGGAACAGAAUUUGAGAAAAGGUCCAACCAAUGACUGGUCCAGCUUUAGACUUAUGUCAUGAAAGGGAACACACCCCUCACGUUGAUGAUAUUCUGGUAUACUUGCAGACAGGAACCCAGCCUAGCUAUCAUUAGAGGACCAUCACAUUGCAACUGUUGUAUGCUGAUGCAGACAUGUACAAUCAAACAUUGAAUGGAUUUUAGGUAAUCCUAAUAGAGGAAGAGAGGGAUGAAGGAUUGAGGGUGCCAGAGAGGUCAAGGGCCUAAUAAGAAAAACCUACAGAAGCAACUAAUCUGGGCUCAUGGAGACUAAACAUGGAGCAUAAAUGGAAUGAGCCUAGGCCCCCUGCAUGUAUUUAGCAGUUGUGC
rnacentral:lncRNA from 1 species